GAUGAACGCUGGCGGCGUGCCUAAUACAUGCAAGUCGAGCGAACGGACGAGAAGCUUGCUUCUCUGAUGUUAGCGGCGGACGGGUGAGUAACACGUGGAUAACCUACCUAUAGGACUGGGAUAACUUCGGGAAACCGGAGCUAAUACCGGAUAAUAUUUUGAACCGCAUGGUUCAAAAGUGAAAGACGGUCUUGCUGUCACUUAUGGAUGGAUCCGCGCUGCAUUAGCUAGUUGGUAAGGUAACGGCUUACCAAGGCAACGAUGCAUAGCCGACCUGAGAGGGUGAUCGGCCACACUGGAACUGAGACACGGUCCAGACUCCUACGGGAGGCAGCAGUAGGGAAUCUUCCGCAAUGGGCGAAAGCCUGACGGAGCAACGCCGCGUGAGUGAUGAAGGUCUUCGGAUCGUAAAACUCUGUUAUUAGGGAAGAACAUAUGUGUAAGUAACUGUGCACAUCUUGACGGUACCUAAUCAGAAAGCCACGGCUAACUACGUG
rnacentral:rRNA from 1 species